UGUUAAUUUAAACAUUAGUUACAAUUUAGUUGGCAUCACAGUCAAGCUUCUUUCUGCUUUCUAGAUAUUUUUCGAUUUUAAUCUUAAAAGAAGUUUAGUUCUGACUACUGAAGGAACGGAAAUAUUCUACGUUUGAAAAAUAAUUUCGCUUGAAAAUGUCUGAAGAACACUUUGAUCAAUUUGAACACUACAAUUAUGAUCAAGAAAAAUUUGUGAAUGCUGGUCAUGGAGGAAAACAAAGGUCUAAAAAGGAACUUGGUGAGCACCACAACAAACAUGACCCUUGCGGAAAUGUACGAAAAAUAGUUACUAAAAUGCAGAAUACUGAAGUAAAUAGAAGAGAAGGAAACGUAAAUAAGCCGACGUAGCUAUUAAAUAGCGUAUGUGAUUGAUUCAUUUUGUCGAGAAUAGGACAAGGAAUUCCAGUGGAAAAGGCGAGGCUUUAUUACCAUCGAGCAAUGAUUAGAGCAUGUGUAUUUUUCUUAUUUGAUCUGGACAUGCAAUUCCAUAUUACUUUUGAAUAAAUUUUGUAAAUGUUAAAAUAACCUUUACUUUUCUUUCAUUUUAUAUGCCCCAUUCUUUUUAUUAUCUACAACAUUUAAUGAUUGUUGACUCUUUUUAAAGAUGUGGUUCCAAUGGGGCUUCUUUAUUUAAUGGUUUUGUGUUUAAAUAUGUCCUAAUAAAUGAACUUUCAUUUGUU